UGCCCCAUGGCUGAGUUGGUUACAGCGUCCGACUGUUAAGUAUAUCUUGGAAUCGGAAGGUCGUGAGUUCGAGCCUCACUGGGGCAG